CGCGCGCACCCCUUCCGCGCAGCCCCCUGACCUGCAGCCUCCGGACCUCGCUGCAGCGCGGACCCCGCCCGCCCGCCCGAAUGAGUCAGCUGAGGCUGCUGCUGUCCCGUCUUGGGGUACAGGCUGCGAGGCUCCUGGCUGCACAUGACAUCCCGGUGUUUGGCUGGCGCAGCAGGUCCUCCGGGCCACCGGCCACCUUCCCAAGCAGCAAAGGUGGAGGCGGCUCCAGUUACAUGGAGGAGAUGUACUUCGCCUGGUUGGAAAACCCCCAGAGUGUCCACAAGUCCUGGGACAGCUUCUUCAGGGAAGCCAGCGAGGAAGCCUUUUCUGGCUCUGCUCAGCCACGGCCCCCUUCUGUUGUCCAUGAGAGCAGGUCUGCAGUCUCAAGUCGGACCAAGACCAGCAAAUUGGUGGAGGACCACCUGGCUGUGCAGUCCCUGAUCCGGGCCUACCAGAUCCGGGGUCACCAUGUGGCCCAGCUGGACCCCCUGGGCAUUCUGGAUGCAGACCUGGACUCCUUUGUGCCCUCAGACUUGAUCACAACCAUUGAUAAACUGGCCUUCUAUGACCUGCAGGAGGCUGACCUUGAUAAGGAGUUCCAGCUGCCGACAACCACCUUCAUUGGGGGCUCUGAAAACACCCUCUCUCUGCGGGAGAUCAUUCGGCGCCUGGAGAACACCUACUGCCAGCACAUUGGCCUGGAGUUCAUGUUCAUCAACGAUGUGGAGCAGUGCCAGUGGAUCCGGCAGAAGUUUGAGACCCCUGGUGUGAUGCAGUUCUCUAGCGAGGAGAAGCGGACCCUGCUGGCCCGGCUAGUGCGCUCCAUGAGGUUUGAAGACUUCCUGGCCCGGAAAUGGUCCUCAGAGAAGCGGUUUGGCCUGGAGGGCUGUGAAGUGAUGAUUCCUGCCCUCAAGACCAUCAUCGACAAAUCCAGCGAGAUGGGGAUUGAGAAUGUCAUCUUGGGGAUGCCACACAGGGGAAGGCUGAACGUGCUGGCCAACGUGAUCCGCAAGGACCUGGAGCAGAUCUUCUGCCAGUUUGACCCCAAGCUGGAGGCGGCGGACGAGGGCUCCGGGGAUGUCAAGUACCACCUGGGCAUGUACCAUGAGAGGAUCAACCGCGUCACCAACCAGAACAUCACUCUGUCGCUGGUUGCCAACCCCUCCCACCUGGAGGCAGUGGACCCUGUGGUGCAGGGGAAGACAAAGGCAGAGCAGUUCUACCGUGGAGAUGCCCAGGGCAAGAAGGUCAUGUCCAUCCUGGUUCAUGGGGACGCCGCCUUUGCUGGCCAGGGCGUGGUAUAUGAGACCUUCCACCUGAGCGACCUGCCCUCCUACACGACCAAUGGUACCGUGCACGUCGUUGUCAACAACCAGAUUGGAUUCACCACAGACCCCCGAAUGGCCCGCUCCUCACCAUACCCGACCGACGUGGCCCGGGUGGUCAAUGCGCCUAUCUUCCAUGUGAAUGCCGAUGACCCAGAGGCUGUGAUAUAUGUGUGCAGUGUGGCAGCCGAAUGGAGAAACACUUUCAACAAAGACGUUGUCGUGGACCUGGUCUGUUACCGCCGGCGCGGCCACAAUGAGAUGGACGAGCCCAUGUUCACCCAGCCGCUCAUGUACAAGCAGAUCCACAGACAGGUGCCUGUGCUGAAGAAGUACGCAGACAAGCUGAUUGCCGAGGGCACAGUCACCCUGCAGGAGUUUGAGGAAGAAAUUGCCAAAUAUGACCGGAUCUGUGAGGAGGCUUAUGGCAGGUCCAAGGAUAAAAAGAUCCUGCAUAUAAAGCACUGGUUGGACUCCCCCUGGCCUGGCUUCUUCAACGUAGAUGGGGAGCCCAAGAGCAUGACAUGCCCAGCCACGGGGAUCCCUGAGGACAUGCUCACCCACAUCGGCAGCGUGGCCAGCUCUGUGCCCCUGGAGGACUUUAAGAUCCACACUGGCCUCUCUCGCAUUCUGCGGGGCCGUGCGGACAUGACCAAGAACCGGACGGUGGACUGGGCGUUGGCAGAGUACAUGGCCUUUGGCUCCCUGCUGAAGGAAGGCAUCCACGUGCGGCUCAGCGGGCAGGAUGUGGAGAGGGGCACAUUCAGUCACCGGCACCAUGUUCUCCAUGACCAGGAGGUUGACCGCAGGACGUGUGUGCCUAUGAAUCAUCUCUGGCCUGACCAGGCCCCGUACACCGUGUGCAACAGCUCCCUCUCGGAGUACGGAGUCCUGGGCUUUGAGCUGGGCUAUGCCAUGGCCAGCCCCAAUGCCCUGGUCCUCUGGGAGGCCCAGUUUGGGGACUUCCACAACACGGCCCAGUGCAUCAUCGACCAGUUCAUCAGCACCGGCCAGGCCAAGUGGGUGCGGCAUAACGGCAUUGUGCUGCUGCUGCCCCAUGGCAUGGAAGGCAUGGGCCCAGAGCACUCAUCAGCGAGGCCCGAGAGGUUCCUGCAGAUGAGUAAUGACGACUCGGAUGCCUACCCUGCAUUCACCAAGGACUUCGAGGUGAGCCAGCUCUAUGACUGCAACUGGAUCGUGGUCAACUGCUCCACACCGGCCAACUACUUCCACGUGCUGCGCCGGCAGAUCCUGCUGCCCUUCCGCAAGCCGCUGAUUAUCUUCACACCUAAAUCUCUGCUGAGGCACCCAGAGGCCAAGUCCAGCUUUGACCAAAUGGUAUCCGGUGGGCAGCUGUUAGAGCUCUGAUGUCGGGACUGGACUACCUGGGCUACCUGCCCUGUGCUGGCUUCUCUCUUGAGGGCCUGGGAUCCAUUUGUCCUCUCUACCCCAGAGUCUUCACCUGAGAUGCAGGGAUGUGAGGACACUACAGUAGCCUCCUGAGAGGUUUUGCAGUGGACCAGCUUCCAGCGGGUGAUUCCUGAAGAUGGGACCGCAGCACGGGCCCCUGAGCAGGUGCGGCGGCUCAUCUUCUGCACAGGAAAGGUGUACUAUGACCUGGUGAAGGAGCGGAGCAGCCAGGGCCUGGAGGAGAAAGUGGCCAUCACGCGCCUGGAGCAGAUCUCUCCAUUCCCCUUCGACCUGAUCAAGCAGGAGGCAGAGAAGUACCCAGGUGCGGAGCUGGUCUGGUGUCAGGAGGAGCACAAGAACAUGGGCUACUAUGACUACAUCAGCCCACGCUUCAUGACCAUCCUGAGGCGCGCACGGCCCAUAUGGUAUGUUGGCCGGGACCCAGCGGCUGCACCAGCCACAGGAAACAGGAACACUCACCUGGUGUCACUGAAAAAGUUUCUGGAUACUGCCUUCAAUCUCCAGGCCUUUGAGGGCAAGACAUUUUAGAGCUGGGCAAGACCUGUGUAGGUCUCGCUGUGGGUUGGCUGGGGACCAAGGGGGUGAUGAAAAGGGGAGGGGCGGAGCUCCUGCCCAGGAGAGGGGCUGUAGGGCCCCAGGAUAAAACAGACUCACACAGUGACAGGGCCAAGAGCCAGCACUGCUGGCCUUGGUGUCAUGCCAGAAUCUACCAGGACUGAGGGAGCCAGAGGAGUCCUAUAGGCAGGCUACUGUGCUGGAGCAUCCCCCAGCUGCUCCCAUCUUGCUGGAAUUUCUUGGGCGGCUUCUCCACCUCUAUCUCAAGACAGACACCCGGGGGCCUGUGUCUGUGGCCGCUCCCAUCCUGGCAGCCCUGGCCGCUGCUCGCCUCACCCUCGCUUAUCUGUAGAUUCAAAGCGAUGUUCUCUUCUGUGCUCUUAGAAGUAGGGAGUUCAGCAGUAACAGCCAGGUGAAGUGAACCUGCUGGGUGAUGUGUUUGCGCUCUGUUUUAUGGGGCAUUCCUGCGAGAUGUGUCAGCUUCUGUGUGAAAUGCAGCCACAGCUCAUGUGUACCAAAGUAGAAAACCAAAUCACAGAGAAAUAAAAACAUGCUUCAGAGAGA